AAGAAUGGAACAAAAUGGUUCAUUACAAUUCCCCAGCACUCUGCAGUACUAACACUUAAAACACAGAAAUAUGAUUUGAAGCUGCAAAGUUAAAUGUAAACUAAAUGAUUGAAAACGGCAUCAAAUCUUCAGCUUCAAAUCCAGUGCAUCAAGUAUCAUAAGAAAAGAUACUUUGUGCUGGACUGAAGACUUGGUCCUGACGGGAAGAAAAUGUUGGAUUUUGCCCCUUGUAAACAAAAAAGAAGACAUAUGUUUAUGCCCUGGUCACACCUAAAGUACAUUUUUCAAAUAAAAGUCUAUUACAUCCUUGGCCAUGACACUUUUUAUGGCAGAGUGAUGCGGACACAUUAUGGUUCACUCUGAACUGCUCAGGCAUUUCAAUACAAUGCAGUUGUUGAUAGUAACCUCAGCAGUGGAAUG